CUUAAUAGAGCUGGAUUUGAAGACAAUAUCCAGGGACAAGAGCUUAAAAAUGGAACAUUUACUAACCUAAAGAUUCUUAUCUUCACACAAAAAUCCAGGCAAAGAGAAAGUUUCAACUGAUUUUCGUGAAGCAGUGUGUGCACAGGUCUUCGUAGGCUGAUGUCUUGAUAAUGAGUUGUAUUUUCCACCUGAUACACCAAAUCUUAGCCAUACAGAUGUCUCCCACUAGCAGAAAGGCAGCUGGCCGUGAUGGACAGCUUAUGGUGCUACUCUGCUUUGCAAUGUGGAAGAUGAAGCAAGCUUAGCUGGAUUGCAGGACUGCUGCCAGCUACAGGAGACAGCAUAAUCAACACUUGGCAAAACCUGCCUCAUCCUUCAGCCAAGUGUCUGCCAGCCAGAACCCCACUGCUUGAAGGAUGGUAACACUAAGAAGAGAAUU